rnacentral:rRNA from 1 species
GACGAACGCUGGCGGCGUGCCUAAUACAUGCAAGUAGAACGCUGAAGGGAGAGCUUGCUCUUCUGGAUGAGUUGCGAACGGGUGAGUAACGCGUAGGUAACCUGCCUGAUAGCGGGGGAUAACUAUUGGAAACGAUAGCUAAUACCGCAUAACAUUGACUAUUGCAUGACAGUCAAUUGAAAGAUGCAAAUGCACCACUACCAGAUGGACCUGCGUUGUAUUAGCCAGUUGGUGGGGUAACGGCUCACCAAGGCGACGAUACAUAGCCGACCUGAGAGGGUGAUCGGCCACACUGGGACUGAGACCUGGCCCAGACUCUACGGGAGGCAGCAGUAGGGAAUCUUCGGCAAUGGACGGAAGUCUGACCGAGCAACGCCGCGUGAGUGAAGAAGGUUUUCGGAUCGUAAAGCUCUGUUGUAAGAGAAGAACGAGUGUGAGAGUGGAAAGUACACACUGUGACGUAUCUAC